CAGGCAGCUUCUGUAAGUUGGCUUUUGUUCUACAGAGCGAAGAGCUGAGUGAAGCAGAAAGGUGAAGAGGGACUUAUAAACAGUUCUCUAUGGAUUCCAGCUCUGAGAAGUGCCCUCCCCCUGCCUGUUCACACGUUAGGAGGAGCUGCAAGCAGCAAUCUAUUUACUUAGGGUAUCCUAAACUCGGCUUUUUAUACAUAUAACAGAUCAUUUAAGAUUUCAAAACCUUGUAAAUUAAAGAAAUACACAUGAAAGGUGAUUAUA